AAAUGGCCUAAAAUAUACAGAAAACAUUAAAUCCCUUAAAAAAAACAAACAAACUCAGAGUAACUUCAUAAUACAUGAAGCCUCAAAAAUAUUUAAAGGGAAGUAGUGCUGUGUCUCAAGCGGUAGAGCGCUUGCCUUGAGCUGAAGAGUGCAGGGACAGCGCCCAAGCCCAGAAUUCAAGCCCCACGAUCGACCAAAAAAAACAACAAAAAAAAAAACCAGUUAAAAAAACUAUUUAAAGUUUUAUCACUUUGAGACUCAGUAGUCGCCACCUAGUUCUGAAUCUUCAAAAUAACCACAUCCUAAAUAUAUAGAAAUUGGUGCCUUUAUGGUUGGGAUGGUUACUUAAAGUUGUGGAAUUAUGGCAUAGAAUUAUCUAUAAGGUUUGAAAUCUGGCUAAAAUACAGUAGAUAUAUAUUUUGGAAUUAGGAGGUAUACAUUGCUAGUCUCUUGGUGAAUAUAUGAGUACUGGUGCCUUCAGAGAUUCCCUUUUGGAUUCCCUUUUGGUGGCGUAGGGGGUCUCUUUUAAGCACAAUGUAGACAAGGGUUGAACAACUCAUUGUUCAAAUAAUCACUGUGCUGAAUAUUGUAAAAUACCAUUAGUUUAGUCUUCAAGCAACAGCAAAAUUUGAACCUACUGAAGAACAUGGAUGCACAAGGCCCUAGAUUUAAUCCCCCAGCACCACAAAAACAAGGGAAACGAUGUUUCAGAUUUUAAUGUUAUAUAUUGCUGUCGUUGAGUAAAACAGAAAGUAAUCUAAAUAUAAUUAAGGCAUUUUAUUCUUUGCAUCAAGUAACUUUCCCUAUGGUCUUUAUACUCUUAAAAACAUAUUUUUUGCCUUAGGUUGAGGGUAUAGCUCACCUCAAUGCUAGGAGCAUGAAACCCUUGCUUUUGCCUCAGCACCAAAAAUACAAAACAAAAAUAAACUACUCUCUGGAUCAAGUAAUGAUAGGGGGUUAGUUUGUCCUCUGUCCAAGGAUAUUGAUCUCAAUUGAAGAUUUCUAAAAAAGCAUAUCAGACCCACAGUCCCAGGAAUUGACUGUAAGUUAUUGCUGCUUGUUUCUUCUGAUGGGAAUGCCAUUUAGUGGUGCUAGUAAAUUUUGAAUAAGACUACUAUGAGAGUUUGCUUUUAUGACAGAAUCAGGUUCAUGUUUAAAGCCAUCAGUCCUAUAUAUUCAGUUUAGGAAGCCACUCUUACAAAUGAGUCCUUUUUAGUUAGCCUGUGUUCUUCAGUCACUUUGGCUGUUUUUAAUUAUAUGUCACAAUAACAUUGGUUGACUUUGAUCACAUUUUAAUGAAAAUAUAUGCCAAAUUGAAGUAAAUGAGGCAAUUUGGCUUAGUGUUUUGGUGUUGUCUUGCCUCCUCAAAAACAGCUGCAGUAGCCAAUAACAGGUGACAGGAAGGUAAUGUUUAAGUAAGGUAAAAUGCAUCCCCACUUUCCUGCCCUCUUACAGUAUGUUUACAUUAUUUGGUUAUUGUACAAACUCAAAUAUCAUAUAAACAAUAUUACUAAACUGAAGGCAUAAGUUAAAGGCAGUAUCAUACUUUGGGCUCUUCUAAUUUUAUCUGUAUAUUAUUUAUUUGGAACUUCAUAUUGUUCUGGCUUCAGAACUGCUCUGAGGCAGCUUUUAGUUUGCAAACUUUUGAUUUCUCUCUUAAAUCCCUUUUAACAGUUUAAUAUUUAUCAUUUGCUGUGAGUUGACACAUUUUUAAUGUUGUGUGCCUCAAGAACUGUUUAUAUUAGGAA